CAUACAGUGUGCUUAGAGUUGCAAGCCAAGAUACAGUAAUAGGAACAUAUGAAGCCACCUUUUACUGAGUCAGACUUUUGGUUCCAUGUAUUGCCUACACUGACUGGCAGCAGCUCUCAAGGAUUUCAGACAAGAGUCUCCUAACCCUGCCAGAGAUUGAACCUAGGAUCUUCUACUUGCAAAGCAGAUGCUCUCGGAGGCUCUUCUGAGGAUCCUGCCUGUUUUGAGCUCCUCCAGUUCCAAAACAGAGAAGCCAUCUUAACCCACUCAAGAUUCUAAGGAGCUCGUCGGAUUGCUAGGAUAAACCCCAUCGUACUCUGAGAUUUUCUUCUACCUAAGCAUGCUUAGGAUCAUACUGCGCAGUCCUAAGGGGCGCAACCAGUGCUUUAUGGACCCAUUCAAAUCAAACGGGAGCUUUGCCUUUCCUUUCUGAGGGAUGCAGCUGGCUUCAGCCUUCAUCUUCUGUGUCGGAAGACCCAACACACCCAAUCCUCCCUCACCCCACAUUUAUAAACAUUCUUAGCCUUCCGGAAAGUCCUGCAGGGGCUGACGGUCCUUCCUCUCCAAGUCAGCGGGCCGGAUCCUCACUCAGCUAAAAGAAAACGAAAGUGCAACAGGCCGAAACUGACACAGGCAAGCACCGUCUGUUGGCCGAUCAUCUCCGCCAUCCAUCGCCUUCCCGAGGACCCGAGUCCUUGCGAAUGUUUUUUGGGUCGUGUUUAGCUGGCCACCUGCGACCAUUACAACCCCUGGAACUUGUUGCCAAAAGAAAGUGUGCAGGAUCGGGCUGUUAAAACCAGACAGCAACAUUUCAAAGACCAACAGCCGUGUUUAGAAGACAAGUUUGGAAUAAUGUCCCACCAGCAUCUUCAUCUUCGAAGCGGUUAAAGCUGAAGCCGGAUCCAGGGAUGGGGGAGCGCCGGCCCUGCAGAUGCUGUUGGACUCCAACUCCCAUCAGCCCCAGCUAGCCUGGCCAAUGCAUCAGGGAGUCCAGCAACCUCUGGAGAGCCAAAAGGUUGCCAUCCCCGCCGCAUCCACUGAGCUGGGAGUAAGCCCAUUCCGAGGAGACCUGUUUGGGGUUGGAGUGCUACAUUCCUACCCAAAACGUAUUACUCGGAAGGAAGUCCGUUGAAAUAAACAUGUUUAGGAUCCGGCCGUAAGUUGCGCUUCUUCGCAAAUGUAAAAUAUGCCUUUAAAAAAAAACUAUUAAAACUACCACACAGGGAAGGUUUCCCUCUUCUUCUUCCCUCUUUUUCUGUUCUGUUUCCACAAGGUAAUGGGAAAAUUCGUUUUGGUCGUGAAUUGCCUUGGUGUGGGAAAGAGGGGUCCUAAACUAUCUAGAUUCUGUGUUCUUUUGCUCUCUGCGUGCUAUGUCAUCCUCGCUCCAAGGGUAUUGCCUAACCCCUCUCCCAAUCUCCUACACAUUGACAUCUAAGGAAGUAUGCUUUGGGCCGCAGCCUAAGUGCUUGAGGUAAAAUACUUAGGCUGCUGCGGAUUUCAACGGGAUCGGAGUUCCAUCGAAGUUGCCAUCCUAUCCGAACAUUACUUACUUGCAAAGGACUCCCGUCGAAAUCCUUCUGAGUACCUAGUUUUAAAGACCUAUAGUAUGCGAGCGUCAGCUUGUGUGCCACAGCUGGAGUACUCCUAAGGCUGCAAUCCUAAGUACACUAAGUCGCUCUGAAAACAGCACAGAUAUGAGCAGGAUCCGACUGCGCUUCAUCAGCUUGCUCGAGGGCAAGUGACCUGAAGAUUGAGGCGUAAAUGUAAUAAUAAAUAACAGUAACAUUUUGAAAAAGUGAUGAGCACUGACUGCAUCACCUGAUCGGAUGCCUGCCUGCUUAGGCUGCAAUCCUAUGCCCACUUACCUGGGAGGAAGCCUCCUGUGAAAUAACACCGUGGGACUGAUUUCUGAGGAAAAGUGGUCUCAGCGGGGACUCCCUUCUGAGUAGACACCUGAAAGCUGUGCAGCCAGUGCACUGACGCGUAAGUGAGAGGACAGUGAAGUCCAAGGGCCUUAGGAGUGAGAUGGAAGACACACACAUCCUUCCUUCCUUUCUUUUUGACUGAACAGAUCGAGAUCAAGAGCAAGGGGUGCUCCCCAAAGAGGGGUCUUACCGCCCCAACAGCUCCCUGGCCAUGUGUGGUGUGAGUUUGGGGUAGGGGUUGCCCUGGUGGCGUCGGGGCGAGCCGAUCAGAUUCUUCCGGUCUCUGAAGAACUGAGGAAGGCCAGAGCGCUGCUUUCGGGCCUGGCUUCUCGGGUUGGAGGGGAGGGGGUGGAGUGAAGUAGGGGGCUCUCCAACAAGGCCUCCCCGGCAGACAAUAGGGACAUUAGAUAGAGUGUUAACUUAAUGAUUUCC